rnacentral:rRNA from 1 species
UGGGGAAUAUUGGACAAUGGGCGCAAGCCUGAUCCAGCCAUGCCGCGUGGGUGAAGAAGGCCUUCGGGUUGUAAAGCCCUUUUGUCCGGAAAGAAAAGCUUCGGGUUAAUACCCCGGGGUUAUGACGGUACCGGAAGAAUAAGCACCGGCUAACUUCGUGCCAGCAGCCGCGGUAAUACGAAGGGUGCAAGCGUUACUCGGAAUUACUGGGCGUAAAGCGUGCGUAGGUGGUUUGUUAAGUCUGAUGUGAAAGCCCUGGGCUCAACCUGGGAAUUGCAUUGGAUACUGGCAGGCUAGAGUGCGGUAGAGGGUAGUGGAAUUCCCGGUGUAGCAGUGAAAUGCGUAGAUAUCGGGAGGAACACCAGUGGCGAAGGCGACUACCUGGACCAGCACUGACACUGAGGCACGAAAGCGUGGGGAGCAAACAG